GGACACCUCAGCCAACUUAUCAUGUUUCAUGCGUAACAACUGGCGCGAAAAAAAUGUACAUUAAACUCAUUUCUAAAGUUGCAGUCAUGAGCUCGAGGAAGCCAUGUUGGCAAAGAUGGCAUAAAUCACAUGACUGGAUCAAGAAACAACAAUAAGCAAUUCUGAAACCGGCUCCAGUGUGUGGUCUGUGGUUGGAAGCAGAAGACUGGCUGGAACCAACAUCUCAACUUCAGGUAAAAAGAGAUGCAAACUGUCUACCCAUCAAAGACAUGAUUCUGCAAUUCAACUGGAGACAUUUUUCCAGCAGUUGGAAGUCCUAGCUGACUUUUUAUGCAGUAAUAGUAUGGCAGUUUAUAUUGCAACAAGGAAAGACAAAACAGUAAAAAGUAGAAGCUAUUAUUCAGAAUAUUAUAUUCAAGGAAUAAGAUAUUGUGAAAGGAAAGAAACAGAAUGCAACUGAAUGAAUUAUUUAGCUCCUUGUUUAAUAUGGAACAGAUGACCAUACACAACUACGGCAUUUGAAAACUCAUUUUACAGAAAGACUGUUAGAAGUAAACUAUGCCAUGAAUUUUGUUGAAGGAAAACUAUGGCCUAUUAAAGCAUAUAUGAACUAUAUGAAAUCUAUGUAAAUCAGAAACUUUUAGCAGAAAAGUGCACUACAUCAUGCAUCAUGUUGGAGAUAAACUAUGGCCUUCAACCAUUUUAAAUUUUGAAAACUGCAAUUCAGAAAUUCUGAAUGAAUACUGAAGGAAGUGCUAUGAAUGCAUGAAGUAGUUUGUGGUACAGAAUGUCCAGACAUUCAACAACAGAAUACAAGGGCCAAUAACUUUUUUGAAUAUCAGAUUACAUGGAUUGAACAUUAGGGGCUUGUUUGGAGGGUAUUUUCAAAGCAGGAUGAAUGUUAUAGAAGAGCCAUUAGAGUAUGAGGGUACUGUGGUAACACCAUUAUGUAUCUAUGUAGAAAAUCACAUGAAAACCUAUGAUAAAACACCAAGCAUUUCAGAAACAGCUGGAGACAUUGGCCAACAUGCAAAAUGUGGCAGAAACAUAGUUGUACAUAUGUGGAGAAACAUCUUUGGAGUGAAUGGAAAUUGUGCUGAAAAAUCGCCAUACAGAUGUGGAGAAACAUCUUUGUAGUGAAUGGUAGUAUUUUUAAUGUGCCAAACUGUGCUGAAACAUCGCCAUACAGAUGUGGAGAAACAUCUCUGUAGUGAAUGGUAGUGUUUUUAAUGUGCCAAAUUGUGCUGAAACAUCGCCAUGGUAGUGUUAUUUACAACAUAACAUGAAACUAUGUUGCAGUAUAAACCAUCAGCAUAUCAGCCUUUGUUACUGUCAACUUGAAGAUCCAACAACUGGAAUUAUGACUCACCGCAGAUGAUCAGCUUGCCGAAAGGGAAGUGUUCUUUUAUAUUGUUGGAGGGUUGAAAGUUAAUAGGUUGCUACUACUUCUUUAUUUAAUAUAACUGUGAAAGUUAUAACCUUUUCUUUCACCCCUCCAGUCUGUUGAUUUAGAUUGAUAUAUCUUACUGUUGUAUCUUUACAGUGAUUCAUUUUCAAAUCUGCUGCAGUGCAUCCCUCCCAUAUUUCACAUCCGUAAGUCUGGAGCAAAAGUUCGAAGCAUUACUUUAUCACUUAAAAAUAGCAUGUCCACUGGAAAAGACAUUGAGUAAAGCACUUGAGAUUUGCUUCAAAAUGGAUCACUGUAUAAAUAAUCUACGAUUUGCUUCAAAAUGGAUCACUGUAUAAAUAAUCUACCCGGUAUCCUUGUAAGUGUUUGAAUAUAAUUUACAGAUCAUAUUUUUAGAAAUGUUAAAAUCAAAUUGGAAUCUUGAAACUGUCAGUACUGAAGAAGGAUUGAAUUUUGUGAGGUCUUUAUUGUGAGCGAUUGUUUAUUUGGCAUGUCUUCUGUACAGUACUGUAAAAACAAGAAAUGAGAUAAAUUUUUUAAAUUCGCAACAUGAAAGACCCUCUGGAAUUCCAUCAGUCUACAAUAUUUGAUGUCAUAUUUGAUGGAAGUUUGGUACCUCUGACCGCACUAGCUUGUAGGCAAUAGAGGAAUUUAAUAAUUCUUCAA